CAUCCUACCUUCUUCCCUAUUCUAAGCAUCUCUUACUUCCAACUUUCAAUCUUUAAAUUUACUGCUCGUGUACUCACUUUACAAUUAGGCUCGAGAGGAAUUAUUUUAUUUUCUGUCGGGAAUUUAUUGAUACCAUUUGUACUUACCAUCUCGGACCUCUGUCACAAUGUUAAUACCUUUUCCUGAAGUAUGUGUUUACUUACAAUUGC